rnacentral:rRNA from 1 species
GCUACACAUGCAGUCGAGCGGCAGCGGAAGUAGCUUGCUACUUUGCCGGCGAGCGGCGGACGGGUGAGUAAUGUCUGGGAAACUGCCUGAUGGAGGGGGAUAACUACUGGAAACGGUAGCUAAUACCGCAUGACCUCGAAAGAGCAAAGUGGGGGAUCUUCGGACCUCACGCCAUCGGAUGUGCCCAGAUGGGAUUAGCUAGUAGGUGAGGUAAUGGCUCACCUAGGCGACGAUCCCUAGCUGGUCUGAGAGGAUGACCAGCCACACUGGAACUGAGACACGGUCCAGACUCCUACGGGAGGCAGCAGUGGGGAAUAUUGCACAAUGGGCGCAAGCCUGAUGCAGCCAUGCCGCGUGUGUGAAGAAGGCCUUAGGGUUGUAAAGCACUUUCAGCGAGGAGGAAGGCAUCACACUUAAUACGUGUGRUGAUUGACGUUACUCGCAGAAGAAGCACCGGCUAACUCCGUGCCAGCAGCCGCGGUAAUACGGAGGGUGCAAGCGUUAAUCGGAAUUACUGGGCGUAAAGCGCACGCAGGCGGUUUGUUAAGUCAGAUGUGAAUCCCCGCGCUUAACGUGGGAACUGCAUUUGAAACUGGCAAGCUAGAGUCUUGUAGAGGGGGGUAGAAUUCCAGGUGUAGCGGUGAAAUGCGUAGAGAUCUGGAGGAAUACCGGUGGCGAAG